AUCCAGUCCACAGGGAGAAACAGGUCUCGGAGGCAGUGUAUGCCCUCCAUCUUGAAGUGCCGAUAUUGGACGAAGGCAUUUAAGGGUCGCAGGUUUAUAACCGGGCAAAUGCCUCCACCCUUUUUCGGUACUAGAAACAGGUUGCUCACAAAACCUGGGGUAUCUUGAGGGAUUUCCUCUAUGGCAAUCUUGGCCUUCAGAUCCCUGAUCACAGAGGAGAUGAGAUCGAGGUGGGUUUCGGCAUAUUGAGCACCCGUGGUGGGGCGUCCUGAAAAGGAAGGUCUGUUAACUCCAAGUGAUAACCCUGUACAGUCUGUAACACCCAGGUAUCGGAUGUGAUCAUAGCCCAAGCUCGGUAGAAUAGAGCCAGUCUGUCCCCCACAUUUAUAUGGGAAAAAAUGGGAAUAUACCGUACUUACCAUAAGGACGUUUUCCUGGGGUCGUUCCCCGACCGCCGCGGGCAUUCCAAGGUCGUCCUCAGGUAGGAAAGAACGGGGUAUAUGAAUGCACUUGCCUUGCUCUUUGUGGAUUGAAGGAGCCUUUGCCCGGUCUGGAGAAACCCCGGGGAUUGCGGCCGGAUAGUCGGCUCCUACCUCUACCGGCCCCACUGAAAAGCUUAUGGUUGAAGAGCCUUUUGAUUGAGG